AUUGAACGCUGGCGGCAGGCCUAACACAUGCAAGUCGAGCGGAUGAAGGGAGCUUGCUCCUGGUUUCAGCGGCGGACGGGUGAGUAAUGCCUAGGAAUCUGCCUGGUAGUGGGGGAUAACGUCCGGAAACGGGCGCUAAUACCGCAUACGUCCUGAGGGAGAAAGUGGGGGAUCUUCGGACCUCACGCUAUCAGAUGAGCCUAGGUCGGAUUAGCUAGUUGGUGGGGUAAAGGCCUACCAAGGCGACGAUCCGCAACUGGUCUGAGAGGAUGAUCAGUCACACUGGAACUGAGACACGGUCCAGACUCCUACGGGAGGCAGCAGUGGGGAAUAUUGGACAAUGGGCGAAAGCCUGAUCCAGCCAUGCCGCGUGUGUGAAGAAGGUCUUCGGAUUGUAAAGCACUUUAAGUUGGGAGGAAGGGCAGUAAGUUAAUACCUUGCUGUUUUGACGUUACCAACAGAAUAAGCACCGGCUAACUUCGUG
rnacentral:rRNA from 1 species